rnacentral:rRNA from 1 species
AACGAACGCUGGCGGCAGGCUUAACACAUGCAAGUCGAACGCCCCGCAAGGGGUGGCAGACGGGUGAGUAACGCGUGGGAAUCUACCCAUCCCUACGGAACAACUCCGGGAAACUGGAGCUAAUACCGUAUACGCCCUUAGGGGGAAAGAUUUAUCGGGGAUGGAUGAGCCCGCGUUGGAUUAGCUAGUUGGUGGGGUAAAGGCCUACCAAGGCGACGAUCCAUAGCUGGUCUGAGAGGAUGAUCAGCCACAUUGGGACUGAGACACGGCCCAAACUCCUACGGGAGGCAGCAGUGGGGAAUAUUGGACAAUGGGCGCAAGCCUGAUCCAGCCAUGCCGCGUGAGUGAUGAAGGCCUUAGGGUUGUAAAGCUCUUUCACCGAUGAAGAUAAUGACGGUAGUCGGAGAAGAAGCCCCGGCUAACUUCGUGCCAGCAGCCGCGGUAAAAC